rnacentral:lncRNA from 1 species
CACUUUAAGCAUAAAAGAAAGAGAAAACACACGUAGGUUUAGGGUUGAGUAAAAGAGAAGGAAGGAGAGAAAAUAUUGGGGUUUGGGCAUUUCCAUGUCAAAGCCUGACUCAAGAGCCUCUCUCGGCUGCAUUGCUGACCUUUGUAAAGCAAAAGCAUAGAAAGAAAGAUACUUUGGUGUAGCGUUUUGCUUUCUUUUAUUUUUC